rnacentral:rRNA from 1 species
UACGUAGGGUGCAAGCGUUAAUCGGAAUUACUGGGCGUAAAGCGUGCGCAGGCGGUUUUGUAAGUCAGAUGUGAAAUCCCCCGGGCUUAACCUGGGGAACUGCGUUUGAAACUACAAGGCUAGAGUGUGGCAGAGGGGGGGUGGAAUUCCACGUGUAGCAGUGAAAUGCGUAGAGAUGUGGAGGAACACCGAUGGCGAAGGCAGCCCCCCUGGGUUAACACUGACGCUCAGGCACGAAAGCUAGGGGAGCAAACAGG